UACGAAGGGGGCUAGCGUUGCUCGGAAUUACUGGGCGUAAAGGGCGCGUAGGCGGACAGUUUAGUCAGAGGUGAAAGCCCAGGGCUCAACCUUGGAAUUGCCUUUGAUACUGACUGUCUUGAGUACGGGAGAGGUGUGUGGAACUCCGAGUGUAGAGGUGAAAUUCGUAGAUAUUCGGAAGAACACCAGUGGCGAAGGCGACACACUGGCCCGUUACUGACGCUGAGGCUCGAAAGCGUGGGGAGCAAACAGG
rnacentral:rRNA from 1 species